AUUGAACGCUGGCGGCAGGCCUAACACAUGCAAGUCGAACGAGUGGCGGACGGGUGAGUAAUGUCUGGGAAACUGCCUGAUGGAGGGGGAUAACUACUGGAAACGGUAGCUAAUACCGCAUACCAUCGGAUGUGCCCAGAUGGGAUGAGCUAGUAGGUGGGGUAAAGGCUCACCUAGGCGACGAUCCCUAGCUGGUCUGAGAGGAUGACCAGCAACACUGGAACUGAGACACGGUCUAGACUCAGACGGGGGGCAGCAGUGGGGAAGAUUGCACAAUGGGCGCAAGCCGGAUGCAGCCAUGCCGCGUGUGUGAAGAAGGACUUCGGGUUGUAAAGUACUUUCAGCGGGGAGGCGUUACCCGCAGAAGAAGCAACGGAUAACUCCGUGCCAGCAGCAGCGGUAAUUC
rnacentral:rRNA from 1 species